rnacentral:sRNA from 2 species
GCAUACUCCCAGCGCUCAACGGGGAACAGAUCAAUGAAUUUUCUACGCAUCGUCCAUGUCAGGGGGGUGGAUGGCGCAGUGGUAAGCGCUGUUCAUCACCACUGCUAAGACCAGGAAGGUGGUGGAUUCAAAUCCCACCCUCUCCAAAAGGAUAUUACCACAUCUUGGUGGAUCUUGAUGGUACCCUUUCUUAUCUCAUUUCUAUUGGCAACUGCCACUGCAAGGUGGAGCAGUGUUCAACACUAUGUAUAUAGUCUAGAUGGAUUCAGGAUACGCUGCACAGAUCUGUAGUGUUGGCCGGAGUUAUACCGUUUAAUACCGAUUGCUGCGCAACUACGGAGGGCGCUAUCAAAAGAAUUGCGCCGCUCAGAUUCAAUUUAUACAACUAAGAAGCGCCACAAUGUUUUAAUGAGUAAUUACAUUUAGCUUCAAAUGACCCCACAUUCUAUUUAUAUGAGAAUGCCAUGUAUUCUGAAUUGAUUCCUCUUUUUUCUCAAAUAUCUCAUCUCUAAUAUUUCAUCUGCUGAUUCAUAUGGCACCCAAUACUGAUAUUGUCACAAGAGCUCUUGUGGUGGCUCUUAAAUCACCCUAUUUUGGCAAGUCAAAUGCUGAAAUCACAGAAAUCACCC